AUGAAUCACUUAGAUGAAAACAGAGAAUCAAAUGAUCAUGAGCAUCAUAAUGCUGGAUCAACAUUGUACGUUUCAAAUUUAAGUUCAAGAAUAACUACUUGGGAACUUCAAGAUUUAUUUGAACAAUAUGGAACUAUAGAAAAAUGCCAUGUUAUCUGUAAUCCAAUUACAAAAGAAUCAAGACAAUUCGGAUUUGUCACUUUUCAUUCUCCUGAUGAAGCACAAAAUGCAAUGAAUAAAACACAUAACAUGGAUCUAGAAGGGAGACUUAUUAACGUACAAAUAGCCAGACGAAAUGAACCAUAUGAACCAACCCCAGGCCAAUAUAAAGGAACUAACAGUAAAUAUAGACGAAACUACGAAAUGAGGCGUAACUAUUAUGCAAGAAAUAAUUACAGAUAUUAUGAUAGAAGGCGAGUUGAAGCAAGAAGAUACCCAUAUUACAGAUACCCAAUAAAAAGUUACGGUUACAGAAAUAACACGUAUAGAAAUUAUGAUAAUAAUGGAAGAAAUACAUAUAACGAUAAUAGACGUUAUGAAAGAAAAUCAAUAGAUUAUAGAUAUCAUAAAAGAGAUGAUUAUUAUAAAAAACCUACAAUGAGCAGUGAUGAUGAAAAAUAUUAUUCAGGAGAUGAUAGUGGUAAAAGAAGAAGAAAAUAUGACAAAUAUAGAAGAUCAUUUAGUCACUCUUUAAGUAACCCAAGACAGCACAAAGGUUCUUCACCAUAAAGGAUGAUGACUUAAUAUUUAUAAAUACACUUUUCUAUACCUUUUUUUCUUUCUCCUUUUACAAUUUAGCAAUUAAUAUCACGAAACAAAACAAAACAAAUUAUAUACUUAUGAAUGCUAAACAAAAUCAGAAUAUUUCUUAGUAGAUGGAUUCAUAUUUUUGUAUGUUAUAAUAAUAUAGCAAUUUUUUUUUUAUUUUUUUAUUUCAAAAGUUAAAAAUUAACAUUUAAGUGACUGUAUGUAUAUAUAUAUUAUACCAUUAAAUUGUAAAAUUUUCAAAUUAAACACAUACAUUUACCAAAAAAAAAAAAAAAAAAAAAAAAAAAUCGUACACAUUACACUUUUUUAAUACGAAUUACUGUAUCAAAACUAAGAAAAUUUUAAAAACAAUUAAAAAAAAAAUGUAUAACAUACGAAAAUCAGUGUUUUCAAAAAGUUAAAUGAAAAUGGAUUUACCUUUGUUCGGUUACAUAUACCCAUCAUCAUAUCUCCACCUUUUUAAUAAUUUAUUGUAACUAACAAAAAAAAAAAAAAUAAAAUAAAAAAUAAAAUUGAUUUUUAAAUAAAU
rnacentral:lncRNA from 1 species